UGAGGAAUAUUGGACAAUGGGUGAGAGCCUGAUCCAGCCAUCCCGCGUGAAGGACGACUGCCCUAUGGGUUGUAAACUUCUUUUAUACUGGGAUAAACCUACCCUCGUGAGGGUAGCUGAAGGUACAGUAUGAAUAAGCACCGGCUAACUCCGUGCCAGCAGCCGCGGUAAUACGGAGGGUGCAAGCGUUAUCCGGAUUUAUUGGGUUUAAAGGGUCCGUAGGCGGGCUGUAAGUCAGUGGUGAAAUCUCAUAGCUUAACUAUGAAAACUGCCAUUGAUACUGCGGUCUUGAGUAAAGUAGAAGUGGCUGGAAUAAGUAGUGUGCGGUGAAAUGCAUAGAUAUUACUUAGAACACCAAUUGCGAAGGCAGGUCACUAUGUUUUAAACUGACGCUNAUGGACGAAAGCGUGGGGAGUCGAACAGGAUUAGAUACCCUGG
rnacentral:rRNA from 1 species